rnacentral:rRNA from 1 species
AUUGAACGCUGGCGGCAGGCCUAACACAUGCAAGUCGAACGGUAACAGAAAGCAGCUUGCCGCUUUGCUGUUGCGUGGCGGAUGGGUGAGUAAUGUGUGGGAAAUUGCCUGAUGGAGGGGGAUAAUUACUGGAACCGGAACCCAAAACCGCAUAACGCUGCAACCUCAAAGAGGAGGACCUAAAGGCCUCUUGCCAUUGGAUGUGCCCUGGUGGGAUUAGCUAGUUGGUGGGGUAACAGCUCACCAAGGCGACGAUCCCUAGCUGGUCUGAGAGGUUGACGAGCCACACUGGAACUGAGACACGGUCCAGACUCCUACGGGAGGCAGCAGUAGGGAAUAUUGCGCAAUGGGCGCAAGCCUGAUGCAGCCAUGCGGCGUGUAUGAAGAAGGCCUUCGGGUUGUAAAGUUCUUUCAGCGGGGAUGAAGAGAGGAAGUAUAAUACCUUUGCGCAUUGACGUUACCCAAAAAAGAAGCACCGGCUAACUCCGUG